UUCAUUAAUUGUGGACUAGAAUGAAGGGGUUAAACUUAGAGGAUGGUUUUUAUUAAAUAUUUUGAAUUUAGAAUAAAAGUUAAAAUCCUUUUAUGAAUUUUGGGGACGAGAAGACCCUAGAAGCUAGAAAAUUUAUUUUUUUAUUGGGGCAAUUUUUGAAGAAAUUAAUUUUUAAUAGUUUUAAAGUUUAGAAUUGAAAAGUUACUCUAGGGAUAACAGCAUUAUUAAUUUGAAGAGUUCUUAUCAAUAAAUUAGUUUAUGACCUCGAUGUUGAAUUAAAU
rnacentral:rRNA from 1 species